GUUGUACACUGGGGAGGUGUUAUCAGUGAUUGAUAGCAUUCUCUGUGUAAGUGUGUGUGUAUACAGAGAUAGCUGUCAGUCACUGAUGGCUGUUCAUAGGGGAGGUGUUAUCAGUGAUUGAUAGCAUUCUCUGUGUAAGUGUGUAUACAG